rnacentral:rRNA from 1 species
UACGUAGGGGGCAAGCGUUGUCCGGAAUCAUUGGGCGUAAAGCGCGCGUAGGCGGCCCGGUAAGUCCGCUGUAAAAGUCCAGGGUUCAACCCUGGAAAGCCGGUGGAUACUGUCGGGCUAGAGUCCGGAAGAGGCGAGUGGAAUUCCUGGUGUAGCGGUGGAAUGCGCAGAUAUCAGGAGGAACACCGAUGGCGAAGGCAGCUCGCUGGGACGGUACUGACGCUGAGGUGCGAAAGCGUGGGGAGCAAACAGG